AGUGAACGCUGGCGGUAGGCCUAACACAUGCAAGUCGAACGGCAGCACAGUAAGAGCUUGCUCUUACGGGUGGCGAGUGGCGGACGGGUGAGGAAUACAUCGGAAUCUACUUUUUCGUGGGGGAUAACGUAGGGAAACUUACGCUAAUACCGCAUACGACCUACGGGUGAAAGCAUGGGAUCUUCGGACCUUGCGCGAUUGAAUGAGCCGAUGUCGGAUUAGCUAGUUGGCGGGGUAAAGGCCCACCAAGGCGACGAUCCGUAGUUGGUCUGAGAGGAUGAUCAGCCACACUGGAACUGAGACACGGUCCAGACUCCUACGGGAGGCAGCAGUGGGGAAUAUUGGACAAUGGGCGCAAGCCGGAUCCAGCCAUACCGCGUGGGUGAAGAAGGCCUUCGGGUUGUAAAGCCCUUUUGUUGGGAAAGAAAAGCAGCAGGUUAAUACCCCGCUGUUCUGACGGUACCCAAAGAAUGAGCACCGGCUAACUUCGUG
rnacentral:rRNA from 1 species